GAUGAACGCUGGCGGCGUGCCUAAUACAUGCAAGUCGAGCGAACGGACGAGAAGCUUGCUUCUCUGAUGUUAGCGGCGGACGGGUGAGUAACACGUGGAUAACCUACCUAUAAGACUGGGAUAACUUCGGGAAACCGGAGCCAAUACCGGAUAAUAUUUUGAACCGCAUGGUUCAAAAGUGAAAGACGGUCUUGCUGUCACUUAUAGAUGGAUCCGCGCUGCAUUAGCUAGUUGGUAAGGUAACGGCUUACCAAGGCAACGAUGCAUAGCCGACCUGAGAGGGUGAUCGGCCACACUGGAACUGAGACACGGUCCAGACUCCUACGGGAGGCAGCAGUAGGGAAUCUUCCGCAAUGGGCGAAAGCCUGACGGAGCAACGCCGCGUGAGUGAUGAAGGUCUUCGGAUCGUAAAACUCUGUUAUUAGGGAAGAACAUAUGUGUAAGUAACUGUGCACAUCUUGACGGUACCUAAUCAGAAAGCCACGGCUAACUACGUGCCAGCAGCCGCGGUAAUACGUAGGUGGCAAGCGUUAUCCGGAAUUAUUGGGCGUAAAGCGCGCGUAGGCGGUUUUUUAAGUCUGAUGUGAAAGCCCACGGCUCAACCGUGGAGGGUCAUUGGAAACUGGGAAACUUGAGUGCAGAAGAGGAAAGUGGAAUUCCAUGUGUAGCGGUGAAAUGCGCAGAGAUAUGGAGGAACACCAGUGGCGAAAGCGACUUUCUGGUCUGUAACUGACGCUGAUGUGCGAAAGCGUGGGGAUCAAACAGGAUUAGAUACCCUGGUAGUCCACGCCGUAAACGAUGAGUGCUAAGUGUUAGGGGGUUUCCGCCCCUUAGUGCUGCAGCUAACGCAUUAAGCACUCCGCCUGGGGAGUACGACCGCAAGGUUGAAACUCAAAGGAAUUGACGGGGACCCGCACAAGCGGUGGAGCAUGUGGUUUAAUUCGAAGCAACGCGAAGAACCUUACCAAAUCUUGACAUCCUUUGACAACUCUAGAGAUAGAGCCUUCCCCUUCGGGGGACAAAGUGACAGGUGGUGCAUGGUUGUCGUCAGCUCGUGUCGUGAGAUGUUGGGUUAAGUCCCGCAACGAGCGCAACCCUUAAGCUUAGUUGCCAUCAUUAAGUUGGGCACUCUAAGUUGACUGCCGGUGACAAACCGGAGGAAGGUGGGGAUGACGUCAAAUCAUCAUGCCCCUUAUGAUUUGGGCUACACACGUGCUACAAUGGACAAUACAAAGGGCAGCGAAACCGCGAGGUCAAGCAAAUCCCAUAAAGUUGUUCUCAGUUCGGAUUGUAGUCUGCAACUCGACUACAUGAAGCUGGAAUCGCUAGUAAUCGUAGAUCAGCAUGCUACGGUGAAUACGUUCCCGGGUCU
rnacentral:rRNA from 1 species